CCUACGGGAGGCAGCAGUGAGGAAUAUUGGUCAAUGGGCGGGAGCCUGACCCAGCAACGCCGCGUGAAGGAAGAAGGCUUUCGGGUUGUAAACUUCUUUUAAGAGGGAAGAGCAGAAGACGGUACCUCUUGAAUAAGCCACGGCUAACUACGUGCCAGCAGCCGCGGUAAUACGUAGGUGGCAAGCGUUGUCCGGAUUUACUGGGUGUAAAGGGCGUGCAGCCGGGAAGACAAGUCAGAUGUGAAAUCCCGCGGCUCAACCGCGGAACUGCAUUUGAAACUGUUUUUCUUGAGUACCGGAGAGGUCAUCGGAAUUCCUUGUGUAGCGGUGAAAUGCGUAGAUAUAAGGAAGAACACCAGUGGCGAAGGCGGAUUACUGGACGAUAACUGACGGUGAGGCGCGAAAGCGUGGGGAGCAAACAGGAUUAGAUACCCGGGUAGUC
rnacentral:rRNA from 1 species